rnacentral:rRNA from 1 species
AUUGAACGCUGGCGGCAGGCCUAACACAUGCAAGUCGAGCGGAUGAAGGGAGCUUGCUCCUGGAUUCAGCGGCGGACGGGUGAGUAAUGCCUAGGAAUCUGCCUGGUAGUGGGGGAUAACGUCCGGAAACGGGCGCUAAUACCGCAUACGUCCUGAGGGAGAAAGUGGGGGAUCUUCGGACCUCACGCUAUCAUAUGAGCCUAGGUCGGAUUAGCUAGUUGGUGGGGUAAAGGCCUACCAAGGCGACGAUCCGUAACUGGUCUGAGAGGAUGAUCAGUCACACUGGAACUGAGACACGGUCCAGACUCCUACGGGAGGCAGCAGUGGGGAAUAUUGGACAAUGGGCGAAAGCCUGAUCCAGCCAUGCCGCGUGUGUGAAGAAGGUCUUCGGAUUGUAAAGCACUUUAAGUUGGGAGGAAGGGAAGUAAGUUAAUACCUUGCUGUUUUGACGUUACCAACAGAAUAAGCACCGGCUAACUUCGUG